CCUACGGGAGGCAGCAGUGGGGAAUAUUGGACAAUGGGCGAAAGCCUGAUCCAGCCAUGCCGCGUGUGUGAAGAAGGCCUUCGGGUUGUAAAGCACUUUCAGUGGGGAAGAAAGCCUUGGGGCUAAUACCCUCGAGGAAGGACAUCACCCACAGAAGAAGCACCGGCUAACUCCGUGCCAGCAGCCGCGGUAAUACGGAGGGUGCGAGCGUUAAUCGGAAUUACUGGGCGUAAAGCGCGCGUAGGCGGUCUGAUAAGCCGGUUGUGAAAGCCCCGGGCUCAACCCGGGAACGGCAUCCGGAACUGUCAGGCUAGAGUGCAGGAGAGGAAGGUAGAAUUCCCGGUGUAGCGGUGAAAUGCGUAGAGAUCGGGAGGAAUACCAGUGGCGAAGGCGGCCUUCUGGACUGACACUGACGCUGAGGUGCGAAAGCGUGGGUAGCAAACAGGAUUAGAUACCCGUGUAGUC
rnacentral:rRNA from 1 species